UUUUCACUCGCGGCCCUCGACGGGCAGGGUGCAAUUAAAGCUGUGUAACACGAGGAAGACAAUCCAGAGCCUGACAAGUCAAUCAAAGAAAUCGGGCUGAAGGAGCUUUUGAAGGUGGUGGGUAAUUAGGGGUGUGGCUGUUUUGUAAAUACCUUGGUCAUUUUUCCCCAGGGGGUUAUUGCAUUUUCAGGAAGAGACUUGGGAACUGUAUAAAAGUCCUUGGAGGGGAGAGCAGCUCAUUCACUCAGCUCCACUCCUCCUCCAGAGCCUUCACAGCCAAGGUUUUCAGCCUUCUCUCCAACCAGCCCAAAAAUGUGCUCCCGUGAGAACAGAGGCUGCCACAGCUCUGAGAGCUCCUCCUGCCACAGCGGAGGCUCCUCCUGCCACGACAGCGACCGGUCCUGCCACGGCUCCGAGGGGGUCGUGUGCCAUGAGGUGACCCCCGUGCCGGACGUGACCCCCGUGGUGGUGCUGACCCCGCAGUGCCCGGUGGCCACCGGGACGGGGCAGGUGCCCCUGGCCCAGGUUCCAUGCCAGCAGCAGCAGCAGCAGAUCAAGCAGCCGGUGCAGUGGCCGCCGCAGCAGCAGCAGAAGUGAAGGGCCCGGAGCUGCUCCUGUCCCCUGUCCCUGAGCUUGGACAGGCCCUGCCUCAUCCCUCCAGCCCCUUCCCUCCUCCUGAGAACCCCAAGUGGCAUUAGUGCGGUGGAAUUGGGAUUUUUCCCCCCACGCACACGCGGGAAUUCCGAUCUCUUCAUUCCCUGCUCCUGUCUCCAGUAGCAAAGGUGUGAUAUUAAAACCUAAAGCUCAUCAAA